GAGAAAGGCUGAGCUUGAUGGACACACAUCUCUUUUCAGCCUAUGUAACUAUGUACAGUUGUGCUCAAAAGUUUGCAUACCCUUGGAGAAUUGGUAAUAUAUGUAAAAUUUUUAAAGAAAACAUGAGUGAAAACAUUUAUUUCUGAUGGGAUUCAUAUUGCACUGUAGGUUAUAACAGAAUGGCACAAUGGCAAAGAAAAAAAAUGAAAUGGCCCCUGUUCAAAAGUCUGCAUACCUUUAGUUCUUAAUACUGUGUAUUGCCCCCUUUAGCAUCAAUGACAGCGUGCAGUCUUUGUAAUAGUUGUCUCUUAUUCUUGCAGGUUGUAAAGCUGCCCAUUCGUCUAGGCAAAAUGCUUCCAGGUCAUGCAAAGUCUUUGGUCAUCUUACAUGAACCGCACGCUUGAGAUCUCCCCAGAGUGGCUCGAUGAUAUUAAGGUCAGGAGACUGUGACGACCACUCCAGAAACUUCCCCUUUUUCUGCUGUAACCACUGGAGCGUCAACUUGGCCUUGUGCUUAGGGUCAUUGUUAUGCUGGAAAGUCUAAUGCACAGCCUUUGUGCAGAAGAAUGCAAAUUGUCUGCCAGUAUUUUCUGAUAACAUGCUGCAGUCAACUUGCCAUCAAUUUUCAUAAGAUUCCCCUUGCCUUUAGAGCUCAGCCUUCCCCACUCCCCCUCCCAAAACAUCAGUGAGCCAUCACCAUGCUUCACAGUGGGAGUGGUAUUCGUUUCACUAUAGGCCUUGUUGACCCCACUCCAAACAUAACGCUUAUGGUUAUGACCAUAAAGCUCUAUUUUGGUCUUGUCACUCCAAAUUACAGUGUACCAGAAGCUGUGAGGCAUGUCAAGGUGUCAGGCAUUUUGCAACUGGGCUUAUUUGUGACAUUGGCACAGUAAAGGCUUCUUUCUGGCAACUUGACAGCUAAUUUUUGUUCACGUAUCGUUGUAUUGUGCUCCUUGAAACAACCACACCAUCUUUUUCCAGAGCAGUCUGUAUUUCUCCUGAGGUUACCUGUGGGCUUUUCUUUGUAUCCUGACCAAUUCUUCUGGCAGUUGUGGCUCAAAUCUUUCUUGGUCUACCUUGAUAUUAAGUGGAAAAUUCAAGCAUCUCUUGAUAAGUGAUUGAACAGUACUGACUGGUAUUUUCAAGGCUUUGGAUAUCUUUUUAUAUCCUUUUCCAUCUUUAAAAAGAUCCAUUACCUUUUUAUGCAGGUCUUUUGACAUUUCUUUUCUGCUCCUCAUGGUUCAGUAUCUAGCCUGCUCAGUGCAUCCACGUGAGAGCUAACAAACUCAUUGCCUAUUUACACACAUACACUAAUUGCAAUUUAAAAAGUCAAAGGUGUGGGAAAUUAAAACCACAGGUGUGGGAAAUUUACCUUUAAUUUCCAUUUUAACCUGUGUGUGUCACUUUGUGUGUCUGUGAAAAGGAACCAGUAACCAUCUGAAUAUAAAUGGCUUCAUAUGAUCACUAUCAUUCAAUAAAAGACAUGAUCAGACAUCAUUUUUGUAUGAUCAGUGAUAUUUUCUAAAUAAUGCCAAAAUUUCACAAUUUCUGCCAGGGUAUGCAAACUUUUGAGCACAACUGUAACUAUGUACCUGUGAUCUGAGGUCUGUUGGAGCCAAAGC
rnacentral:lncRNA from 1 species